rnacentral:rRNA from 1 species
GACGAACGCUGGCGGCGUGCUUAACACAUGCAAGUCGAACGGAAAGGCCCUGCUUUUGUGGGGUGCUCGAGUGGCGAACGGGUGAGUAACACGUGAGUAACCUGCCCUUGACUUUGGGAUAACUUCAGGAAACUGGGGCUAAUACCGGAUAGGAGCUCCUGCUGCAUGGUGGGGGUUGGAAAGUUUCGGCGGUUGGGGAUGGACUCGCGGCUUAUCAGCUUGUUGGUGGGGUAGUGGCUUACCAAGGCUUUGACGGGUAGCCGGCCUGAGAGGGUGACCGGCCACAUUGGGACUGAGAUACGGCCCAGACUCCUACGGGGGGCAGCAGUGGGGAAUAUUGCACAAUGGGCGGAAGCCUGAUGCAGCAGCGCCGCGUGCGGGAUGACGGCCUUCGGGUUGUAAACCGCUUUCGCCUGUGACGAAGCGUGAGUGACGGUAAUGGGUAAAGAAGCACCGGCUAACUAC